AGCAAGCACAUGAAUUUCGAGUAAAGCAAUGGUUAGGAGCCACUGUCUACUCUAAUGGUGAUGGAAAAGUAGUCGUAAGUAUACUGUGCAGUUGGGUUUUCAUUAUUAAUCUAAGUCAAUUAUUUGCAUUAUGUUACAACUUGAUGUGUCAGUGUUGCUACAAAAGCUGAAAGGUGGCUAUAGAAAGAUGGUCAAAAAAGUAAAUGUGUUAAUUUGGCUGUAUGUAGCUAAUCACAAGUGGAGAUGCUAACAAUAAUUAAAAAGCUCG